rnacentral:rRNA from 1 species
CCCUCCCUCUGGCGUCAUGCCUAACACAUGCAAGUCGAACGAGACCUUCGGGUCUAGUGGCGCACGGGUGCGUAACGCGUGGGAACCUGCCCUUAGGUUCGGAAUAACUCCCCGAAAGGGGUGCUAAUACCGGAUAAUGUCUUCGGACCAAAGAUUUAUCGCCUUUGGAUGGGCCCGCGUUGGAUUAGCUAGUUGGUAGGGUAAAAGCCUACCAAGGCGACGAUCCAUAGCUGGUCUGAGAGGAUGAUCAGCCACACUGGGACUGAGACACGGCCCAGACUCCUACGGGAGGCAGCAGUGGGGAAUAUUGGACAAUGGGCGAAAGCCUGAUCCAGCAAUGCCGCGUGAGUGAUGAAGGCCUUAGGGUUGUAAAGCUCUUUUAACCGGGAUGAUAAUGACAGUACCGGGAGAAUAAGCGCCGGCUAACUCCGUG